AGCGAACGCUGGCGGCAGGCCUAACACAUGCAAGUCGAACGGAUCCUUCGGGAUUAGUGGCGGACGGGUGAGUAACACGUGGGAACGUGCCCUUUGGUUCGGAACAACUCAGGGAAACUUGAGCUAAUACCGGAUGUGCCCUUCGGGGGAAAGAUUUAUCGCCAUUGGAGCGGCCCGCGUCUGAUUAGCUAGUUGGUGAGGUAACGGCCCACCAAGGCGACGAUCAGUAGCUGGUCUGAGAGGAUGAUCAGCCACACUGGGACUGAGACACGGCCCAGACUCCUACGGGAGGCAGCAGUGGGGAAUCUUGCGCAAUGCGCGAAAGCCUGACGCAGCCAUGCCGCGUGAAUGAUGAAGGUCUUAGGAUUGUAAAAUUCUUUCAGCGGGGACGAUAAUGACGGUACCCGCAGAAGAAGCUCCGGCUAACUUCGUG
rnacentral:rRNA from 1 species